rnacentral:rRNA from 1 species
UCAAACGAGAGUUUGAUCCUGGCUCAGAAUCAACGCUGGCGGCGUGCCUAACACAUGCAAGUCGAACGAGAAAGUGGAGCAAUCCAUGAGUAAAGUGGCGCACGGGUGAGUAACACGUGACUAACCUACCUUUUAGUGGGGG